rnacentral:rRNA from 1 species
AUUAUUAAAAUAUAAAGUAUAUUUUUAGAUUAGUAUUAAAUAUAUUUAUGAAAUUAAAAUAAUUUGGCGGUAUUUUAGUCUAUUCAGAGGAAUUUGUUUUAUAAUUGAUAAUCCUCAUUAUAUUUUACUUAUUUUAUUUAAUUUGUAUAUCGUUGUCAUUAGAAUAUUUUAUAAGAAAAAUAAUUUUCUUAAAUUAAUUUAAAAUUUUAUGUCAAAUCAAGGUGCAGUUUAUAUUUAAGAAAAAAUGAAUUACAAUAAUAUUUAAUUAUAUGAAUUAAAAACUGGAAUAGUUUUAUGAAGGUGGAUUUGAUAGUAAAUUUAAUAAGAAUGUUAAAUUGAUUAUAGCUCUAAAAUAUGUAC